UAGUCAUAUGCUUGUCUCAAAGAUUAAGCCAUGCAUGUCUAAGUACAUACCUUUGCACGGUGAAACCGCGAAUGGCUCAUUAAAUCAGUUAUGGUUCCUUAGAUCGUUCAUAUUACAUGGAUAACUGUGGUAAUUCUAGAGCUAAUACAUGCAACAAGCUCCGACCUUUUGGGAAGAGCGCUUUUAUUAGACCAAAACCAAUGGGGUCGCAAGAUCCCUUUGUAUGGUGACUCUGGAUAACUUUGUGCUGAUCGCAUGGCCUCGAGCCGGCGACGUAUCUUUCAAGUGUCUGCCCUAUCAACUUUCGAUGGUAAGCGACUUGCCUACCAUGGUUGUAACGGGUAACGGGGAAUCAGGGUUCGAUUCCGGAGAGGGAGCAUGAGAAAUGGCUACCACAUCUACGGAAGGCAGCAGGCGCGCAAAUUACCCACUCCUAGAUCGGGGAGGUAGUGACGAAAAAUAACAAUACCGGACUCAAUGAGGCUCGGUAAUUGAAAUGAGUACAGUUUAAAACCCUUAACGAGGAUCUAUU
rnacentral:rRNA from 1 species